ACAACAGGUAUUAGUGUAGAUGAACCCAAAAAUAAUUGGGCGUUUGAUACAUCACAGUUUGACAACAUCCUGAAGAGAUUGAAAGUGCAAGUAGCAGAAAUCAAGGAUGAAGCUGUUGAAAAGGAUGAUGUUCAAGAUGUUGAUACUGAUGCCACCACAGAGACUAAUACAGUUGUCAAGUCUACUCGGCCCCAAGGAAGGUAUAAGAAAAGAGAGAGAGGGAAACUUGUCCAUGCAUAUUCUUCCGAGGAUCUUGGAGGAAUACUUGUGAGUUACUAACCUUUGUAAUUUAGGCCCUUCUGUUUUCAUUUUAUAGAGUUGAUUGAAUUGUGAGCUAGUUAAUUUGUGGUGCCUUAGUUAUAAGUGGUGAGUUUAUUAUUUGGGUCACUAUGUUGUCUGAAGUUACCAAAUUAUUUUUACAAAAAUGAAGUUCUAAGAUUUUGGAG